GACGAACGCUGGCGGCGUGCUUAACACAUGCAAGUCGAACGGAAAGGCCCUGCUUUUGUGGGGUGCUCGAGUGGCGAACGGGUGAGUAACACGUGAGUAACCUGCCCUUGACUUUGGGAUAACUUCAGGAAACUGGGGCUAAUACCGGAUAGGAGCUCCUGCUGCAUGGUGGGGGUUGGAAAGUUUCGGCGGUUGGGGAUGGACUCGCGGCUUAUCAGCUUGUUGGUGGGGUAGUGGCUUACCAAGGGUUUGACGGGUAGCCGGCCUGAGAGGGUGACCGGCCACAUUGGGACUGAGAUUCGGACCAGACUCCUACGUGAGGCAGCAGUGGGGAAUAUUGCACAAUGGGCGGAAGCCUGAUGCAGCAACGCCGCGUGCGGGAUGACGGCCUUCGGGUUGUAAACCGCUUUCGCCUGUGACGAAGCGUGAGUGACGGUAAUGGGUAAAGAAGCACCGGCUAACUACGUG
rnacentral:rRNA from 1 species